UACGAAGGGGGCUAGCGUUGCUCGGAAUCACUGGGCGUAAAGGGCGCGUAGGCGGAUCUUUAAGUCAGGGGUGAAAGCUGAGGCUCAACCUCAGAAUUGCCUUUGAUACUGAAGAUCUUGAGACCGGAAGAGGUAAGUGGAACUGCGAGUGUAGAGGUGAAAUCGUAGAUAUUCGCAAGAACACCAGUGGCGAAGGCGGCUUACUGGUCCGGUUCUGACGCUGAGGCGCGAAAGCGUGGGGAGCAAACAGG
rnacentral:rRNA from 1 species